rnacentral:rRNA from 1 species
GUCUAUGGCCAUGCUACUCUGAAUAUGCCCUAUCUUGUCUGAUCUCAGAAGCUAAGCAGAGUUGGACCUGGUUAGUACUUGGAUGGGAGACCACCUAGGAGUAGCAGGUGCUGUAGGCG